GAGCAUACCUACCUGCAAGAGCCUUACUGGACUCAGGGUCACAAGUCAAUUUUAUGACAGAGGAUUUGGCCCAAAAACUGCGGAUUCGUCGCCAAAACAGGACCUUAAAUAUUAUAGGAAUUGGAAAUUCCAGUACGAAAGUCGGGGCCAAAUUAAGCGCGUUUAUUAAGUCACGCGUUAAUAAUUAUGAAUUUUCGGCGGAAUUCUGGAUUAUGCGAUGCAUUUCGGCUAAUCAUCCAGACCAUACCAUUAAUGUUAAUGGUUGGAAAAUUCCGCGCAAUAUUGAAUUGGCGGAUCCAGAAUUCCACACAUCCCAAAGGAUUGACAUCUUAUUGGGUGCAGAAACCUUUUUUGAUCUGUUAGCGGUUGGCCAAAUUAAAAUUGGCCCUAAUCAACCAACGCUGCAGAAAACUCUUUUGGGAUGGAUUGUGUCUGGCAAAUAUGUCAGCAAUCUUAGUCCUCCUCCCGAAGCAACUAGCACAUUAUGCCAAACUGAAGACGACUUAACGUCCAUAGAUUCAGUAGUCCAAAAAUUCUGGGCUCUGGAGGAACUUCCUUCAGAAACAAAUGGCAACAAGUUCACACCUGAACAAAAAGAGUGUGAAAAAUUUUUCGUUAACACAACUGAAGUAUUGCCUUCAGGAAGGCUUCAAGUCAGAAUGCCCUUUAAAUCUGACCGUAAGUUACUCGGUCACUCCUAUGAAACCGCAGUUCGGCGGUUUCAGGCCCUGGAGAGAAAAACAUUGAAAAAUCCAGAACUUCGUAGAAUGUAUCUGGACUUCAUGAAUGAAUAUAAAGCAUUGGGUCACAUGAGCCCAACAAACAAUAAGAUCCCGAGUGAGCCACACUAUUUCAUUCCGCAUCAAUGCGUUUUAAGACCCGAAAGCACAACAACCAAAUUACGUGUUGUUUUUGACGCUUCGAGUCGUACUUCAUCUCAAAUUUCAUUGAAUGAACUUUUGAUGGUAGGCCCAACCAUCCAAGAAGAGUUGUAUUCAACUCUUCUUCGUUUUCGUUUACACAAGUACGCUUUAACGGCAGACAUUACUAAAAUGUACCGCCAAAUAAUGGUGCACGAAGAAGACAGAAAUUGUCAGCUUAUUGUGUGGAGAGAGCAUCCCUCAGAGCAUAUUCAAAUUUUUCGACUUAACACCGUCACUUACGGCACUGCGCCUGCACCAUUUCUCGCAACACGGUGUUUGCAAAUGCUCAGCGAUGCUAAUACAACUAAAUACCCACUCGGUUCAUUGGCCAUUAAAAGAGACUUUUAUGUCGAUGACUUAUUGACAGGAUCUGAAAAUUUUGAGUCUCUAGAUCUUAUAAGAAGUGAAGUAGUUAAAAUAUUAAACUCGGCAGGAUUCACCUUAACGAAGUGGUUUUCGAACCACCCUAAAUUUUUCGACAGUGAUUGCACUGAAAAGUCAUUAAGCUUCAAUGACAAAAAUUCUACAAAAACGUUGGGAAUCCAUUGGUUGCCGAAAGAGGAUUUAUUUCGAUUUGUCCUAGACGACAAUUUUAAUGAUUUGCGAGCCACUAAACGAAACAUAUUAUCAGUUUCUGCUCGCCUUUUCGAUCCUCUUGGAUUAUUAGCCCCACUAGUUACCAAAGCAAAAAUCUUAUUGCAAGAGCUUUGGAUUCAGAAACUAGAUUGGGAUGAGUCGAUUCCAUUGCGCCUCGACACUAGCUGGCAGAAUUUCAAAGCCAACCUAAUGCAGCUUUCAACAAUUAGCAUUCCUCGUUACGUGAACGUACAGUCGAGUGCCAUCUGCCAAAUACAUGGCUUCUCCGACGCUUCAAUAAGAGCGUACGGAUGCUGCAUAUAUAUACGAAGCCAAACUGCUAGUGGUAUUAAAUGUAUGCUGCUUACUGCAAAGUCUAGAGUGGCUCCGCUGAAGACCAAAUCUCUUCCACGUCUUGAGCUCUCGGCAGCACAUCUUCUUUCAAAAUUAUGGUCAAGAGUUGCGCCUAUGUUGAAUCGACAUUUCGAAAAAAUUACAUUCUGGACAGACUCCGAAAUUGUUUUACAUUGGAUAAAAACACAUCCUUCCUCAUUACAAACAUUCGUCGCAAAUAGAGUGUCCGAAAUCCAAGAGUUGACCGACAAAGUGCAUUGGCGGCAUGUGCCAACAAAACAAAAUCCUGCGGAUCAAGUGUCUCGGAGUUGUAACGUGGACGAAUUAAAUAAUUCAAUAUGGUUUGGCGGUCCACAGUUCCUCCUAGAAGACCCUGCAUUAUGGCCAAUUAACACCCACUUCCAGCUCUCACCAGAAGACGAAGCAUUAGAGAAGAAGAAAAAUGCAUUUACAUUAAUUUCGACCACUGAGAAAAAUCCAAUAUUGGACCUCAUUGAAAAAUUCUCUUCUCAUAGAAAAUUGCUUCGUGUGGUCGCAUAUUUACUACGAUGGAUCAGACGACCAAAAAUGCCUACGGAGGGCAGGGAUCUGACAUCUAACGAAUUGCACUUGAGUUUUUUGAAAAUUGUUCAAGUGAUUCAACAUUCGGAAUUUGCAAAUGAAAUCCAAAAACUGACUAAGGGCACCACGCUACCGGCAACCUUGCAAAAACUAAAUCCGUUCUUGCAUGAGUACUCGGAUAUGUCGCUUUCGUUCAAAUUAAUCCGAGUAGGAGGUCGCCUUUUAAAUGCACCUCUCCCAUACGAUGCCAAAUUUCCACUAUUGCUAUAUAAAAAUUCGCACUUCGUUACAACUUACUUACGGUUCCUGCACUUUCGGAAUCACCAUGCUGGAGCAAAAGCGCUGGUUGCGCUUCUUCGAGAACGCAUAUGGCUGAUUAAUGCAAGAGAAGCAUGCAGUAGAACCGUAAGAAACUGCACACACUGCUUUCAUUACAAGCUGAAGCUACAAACCUAAAUAAUGGGAAACUUGCCAUCAGAAAGACUUCGAGCGCUACGACCCUUCCUUAUAUGUGGCGUAGAUUUUUGUUGUCCAAUAUAUACAACAUUAAAAAUACGUGGUCGACCACCCGUGAAAACUUAUAUUGCAGUUUUUGUGUGCUUUACUUCGUUCAUUGGUCGCCGAGGGAUUCCGCAGAAAAUAUACAGCGACAACGCAACCAAUUUCGUCGGCGCCGCCCGCUAGCUGCGCGAGCUGAAAGAGGCAUUUCUAGCUCAGUCAACGGAAGUGAAGAGAUUCGCCGCAGAAGAAGGAUUCAGCUUCACCUUUAUACCACCCAGGGCGCCGCACUUCGGCGGAUUAUGGGAGGCCGCGGUGAAAUCCGCCAAACACCUGGUAGUUUGCGCACUAGCCGAAGUGGAAGCCAUUCUCAACUCGCGUCCACUCGCACCGUUGAGCCAGGACCCCAACGAUGGAGAAGCUCUAACGCCAGCACACCUGCUGAUCGGUUGCCCUCUACGAGCACUGCCACAAGCACAAGUGCCAGCGGACAUAAUUCGUUGUUGCGAGAGAUGGCAACUUGUUUGCUGUCUCAAGCAACAGUUUUGGCUGCAGUGGUCCAAAACGUAUCUCAGGAGCGCAACAAAUGGCUACAUCCGGAGCGGAAUCUGCAGGCUGGCGACCUCGUCCUCGUACACGAAGACAACACACCACCGCAGCAGUGGGUACUAGGACGAGUCGCCGCCACGGUAGAAGGGCUAGACGGCAAGGUGCGAGUGGCAGACGUGGCAACGAAAGCAGGCACAAUCAAGCGGCCCAUUCAUAAGCUCGCCCUGCUACCCAUCAACGUUGAAGGAUCAUGAUCCUGUCAAGGCGGCCGGUGUUGCGUCAA